CCUGGUUGAUCCUGCCAGUAGUCCUAUGCUUGUCUCAAAGAUUAAGCCAUGCAUGUGUAAGUAUGAACUAAUUAAGACUGUGAAACUGCGAAUGGCUCAUUAAAUCAGUUAUAGUUUAUUUGAUGGUAUCUACUACUCGGAUAACAGUAGUAAUUCUAGAACUAAUACGUGCAACAAACCCUGACUUCUAGAAGGGAUGCAUUUAUUAAAUAAAAGGUCAACGUAGGCUCUGCCUGCUGCUUUGAUGAUUCAUGAUAACUCAUCGGAUCGCACGGCCCUAGUGUCGGCGACGCAUCAUUCAAAUUUCUUCCAUAUCAACUUUCGAUGGUAGGAUAGUGGCCUACCAUGGUGGUGACGGGUGACGGAGAAUUACGGUUCGACUCCAGAGAGGGAGCCUGAGAAACGGCUACCACAUCCAAGGAAGACAGCAGGCGCGCAAAUUACCCUAUCCUGACACGGGGAGGUAGUGACAAUAAAUAACAAUACUGGGCUCAAUGAAUCUGGUAAUUGGAAUGAGUACAAUCUAAAUCCCUUAAUGAGGAUCAAUUGGAGGGCAAGUCUGGUGCCAACAGGGACAGUCGGGGACAUUCGUAUUUCAUAGUCAGAGGUGAAAGUCUUGGAUUUAUGAAAGACGAACAACUGCGAAAGCACUUGCCAAGGAUGUUUUCAUUAAUCAAGAACGAAACUUGGGGGCUCGAAGACGAUCGGAUACCGUCCUAGUCUCAACCAUAAACGAUGCCAACCAGGGAUCAGCGGAUAUUGCUUUUAGGACUCCGCUGGCACCUUAUGAGAAAUCAAAGUCUUUGGGUUACGGGGGGAGUAUGGUCGCAAGGCUGAAACUUAAAGGAAUUGACAGAAGCGCACCACCAGGAGUGGAGCCUGCGGCUUAAUUUGACUCAACACGGGGAAACUUACCAGGUCCAGACAUAGUAAGGAUUGACAGACUGAGAGCUCUUUCUUGAUUCUAUGGGUGGUGGUGCAUGGUCAUUCCUAGUUAGUGGAGCAAUUUGUCUGGUUAAUUCCGUUAACGAACAAGACCUCAUCCUGCUAACUAGCUAUGUGGAGGUAACCCUCCACGGCCAGCUUCUUAGAGGGACUAUGGCCGCCUAGGCCACGGAAGUAUGAGGCAAUAAUAGGUCUAUGAUGCCCUUAGAUGUUUUGGGCCACACGCGCGCUACACUGAUGUAAUCAACGAGUCUAUAGCCUUGGCCGACAGGCCCGGGUAAACUUUGAAAUUUCAUCGUGAUGGGGAUAGAUCAUUGCAAUUGUUGGUCUUCAACAAGGAAUUCCUAGUAAGAGCGAAUCAUCAGCUUGCGUUGACUACGUCCCUGCCCUUUGUACACACCGGCCAUUGCUCCUAUCGAUUGAAUGGUCCGGUGAAGUGUUCGGAUCGCGGCGACGUGGGCGGUUCCCUGUCACCGACGUUGUGAAAAGUCCACUGAACCUUAUCAUUUAGAGGAAGGAGAAGCCGUAACAAGGUUUCCAUAGGUGAACCUGCGGAAG
rnacentral:rRNA from 1 species